CGCGUAGACGGUUUUGUAAGUCAGAUGUGAAAUCCCUGGGCUCAACCUGGGAACUGCAUUUGAUACUGCAUGGCUAGAGUAUGGUAGAGGGAAGUGGAAUUUCCGGUGUAGCGGUGAAAUGCGUAGAUAUCGGAAGGAACACCAGUGGCGAAAGCGACUUCCUGGACCAAUACUGACGUUCAUGUGCGAAAGCGUGGGGAGCAAACAGGAUUAGAUACCCUGGUAGUCCACGCCAUAAACGAUGACAACUAGAUGUUGGGAGGGUCUGCCUCUCGGUGUCGCAGCUAACGCGUUAAGUUGUCCGCCUGGGGAGUACGGCCGCAAGGUUGAA
rnacentral:rRNA from 1 species